UUGGAAGGAGUGUAGGGUAAGCUCAAGAACUUGCAACUCUCUGAAGCUGAAAAGAAGGGAAUCCGGGUCGGCAAGAAGCAGGCAUGCUCCUCGCAGGUGAGUAAAUUUCAGGCUGUGGGUAAGCUUCUUUCAGAGAAGAUGGCUAGAUCAGAACAUGUAGGAAGAUCCUUGGGGGGAGCUUGGAACACAUAUUUGGGGGUAGACUGCAAAGAUCUUGGCAGGAAUCGAUUUCUUUUUACCUUCCAUCAAAAGGCUGAUAAGGAAAAGGCAUUAGAUGCUGGACCUUGGAGGUUUAAUAACGAUCUGUUGGUGAUGGAAGAUUUUGUGCCCAGUAGAACCAUAGAUGAAUACAGUUUCAGAACAACACCAAUUUGGAUUAGAGCCUAUGGUAUCCCAAUUGGAAUAAUGAGCAAGGAAACCGGAAGACUGAUAGGAGAACAAAUAGGGGAGGUUAUGGAGGUGGAUUCAGAAGUAAAUGGGGACUCAAUGGGAGUAUUCAUGCGAAUUAAAGUGAAAAUAGACAUCACAGUUCCAAUUAUGAGAUUUAUAACAUUCUUUAUUGAAGACGAAGAGGAGCAGGAACAGGCUAAUGAAAUGACACUUGAGAGAGUUGAGGAAGAUGAUGACAAGGGGGAAGAGAAAGAAGAAAAGAAGAGGAAGAUUAUCUCCAUUACAUAUGAAUACCUUCCCGACUUCUGCUAUAGUUGUGGCAUAAUUGGACAUACAGAGAAAUCAUGUCCAACCAGAUCUAGAAGAACAGGAUCCAGGCAGUUCGGGCCAUGGCUGCGGGCAACUAUGUAUAAGGGGGGCUCUAGUGAAUAA
rnacentral:rRNA from 1 species